rnacentral:rRNA from 1 species
UACGUAGGGUGCGAGCGUUGUCCGGAAUUAUUGGGCGUAAAAGAGCUUGUAGGCGGUCUGUCGCGUCUGCUGUGAAAAUCCGGGGCUCAACCCCGGACUUGCAGUGGGUACGGGCAGACUAGAGUGUGGUAGGGGGAGACUGGAAUUCCUGGUGUAGCGGUGAAAUGCGCAGAUAUCAGGAGGGAACACCGGUGGCGAAGGCGGGUCUCUGG